AUUUAUUCAGAUGUUUUAUAAACACAACAAAUAAGAAGAUUUUAUUUAUUCCUCAGUCAGACACUUUCAUUAAAAACAAGUCCAAACCAUCUUCCUGCAUUUGGUUUGCGGGCCUCAAACACUUCUUUGUGCUGUCCACUGGGGGGCGCUGUUCACCUGCAAACAUCAGCUGGUGAACUGCUUGGCUCAGAGCAGAAACAGUUCCUGUGACUUCUCCACCCUCCAUCACAGUCAGAACAUCUGAUGCGAAAUAAACCCGACACCACAAACCAUGAAAAGAUCUGCAGAUCACGUUUCCCUCACCUGCCAGGCGAUAGCAGCGAUAACCAGCAGCACAGAGCCACACCUGUGGGGCCGACCAACAGCCAUGACCCGAAGACCCCCAAAGAGAGCGGCUGAGACCAAAACCUCGUCAGGAAAAGCUUAUAUCAGACUGUUUAUACUUCCUGUUUAUCCAAGCUGGUACCUGGAUGCUAACAGGUGAGCGGCUACUUCCUGCUGAAACUCUGCCCCCUGGUGGUGGGAGUGUACAAAAAG